ACAACGCGAUGAUAACUCGCUUAUGAAACGCACAAAUUAAGUAGUGUAAAACUGAAAAAUGCUAAAAUGAAGACCAAAAACUUCGGAAAAGAUAUGAUUAGGCCAACAGGGAACUUAGGAUCCGUGAAGUCUUUGAAAAAUUCCCCGAGAAAACCAAAUCCAGUGGAAAACAGUCCUACUGAAACCCAAAGUUCCAAUGUGCUGAGAUACGUAAGGCGCCCGCGCCCUAACUCGGCGACCACUCAGCGCUGCUCCGGUCUGGAGUACAGUUACAACGUCCACCAGGGGGCGCUAGGCCGGAGGUUCUCGCUGAUCCCCUCGUUUCCGGACACGGAGUGGGAGCUACAGUCUUGCCUCCAGUGCUCCGAACAGACAGACACGGCCGACCAGAAGCAUGACGGGAUGAGCGGUGAGCAUCUGCGACCAUUGUUGUCCCUGUGGAAGUUUGCAGGGGAGCCGCCCAAAAACAAGGUCGAGAAGGGUUCUGUCAGACACAGCAUCCAGAGGCAGUGUGGUUGUGUAGUGCGGACCUCACGGAAAACCGAUCUCACAUAGAUUAGAGCGUUAUCGUUGGGAACGCCAUUGACAGUGUAUUGCGAAACUCAUGGAAAACCAGCUUCAUUUGGACGUCAUUGUUUGUGUGUAGUGCGGACCUCUCAGAACGCUGAUCUCAUAUAGAAUGUCUGAUUGUUUAGAACGUCAUUUUAGGUGUAUAUUAGUGCGGACCUCACGGAAAUCUGCUAUUAAUUAGAGCGUCUUCGUUUUUGUGUUGUGCGGACUUCACGAGAAACUGUCUCAUUUAGAGGUUUUCAAGGUUGAGAAAGCGGACCUCAAUGAAAACGGUUCCCAAUUAACCGAUCUAUUUUUAGGUUCUCUGAUCCUCAGUGAAGUUCGAUAACUGCUAUAUAUUCCUUAGAAGAUAAAUCUUUCUUUUGACAAAAAUUAAUGAAUUUUUCAAAUCUUAUUAAAUAAAAAGUUUAAGUUACAUACAGACUUAGCAUACUAUCAGGUUUUAGCAGCAAAAUAAAAUUCUAGAAAAUAC
rnacentral:sRNA from 1 species